AAGUUUCUGCCCACUACAUUUAACUUUAGGACUACAAGAAGUGGGGUUUGGGUGGAAUAUCUCGCUGAAAACCCCACCAAGAAGGGAAGCACCAAUCAUAAGCAGAUGGCUGAGGGAGGAUCUAAAGGAUAUGAUCAAAAGUGGGAUGGACAUGGAUGUACAUAAGGGGAAGCAACAGAUGUGAAGUUCAUUCAUAGAUCCCAACAAUAUUUCAAGAGGGAAAGGCAUUAUGGGAUAAUUGAAUAGGAGGUUCUAUAAGGUUAGCCAAGUAAGCGAUAAGAGUAGAUUUGGGGAAGGCAGUAAGGUAUGAUACUACAUGAUAACAGAGAUAGAUGCGGAGCUCGAAGACAGGCCGAUAUGCCUUGUGGAUGGGAAGAAAAAGAAAAAAAUACAACAUUUAGAGGACAGCAACAAUAAUUACCUAAUGAACACAGAACUUGACAAUGAUAUAUCGGUGGUCGCUAGCAAGCAGGCUGGCCGGCCAGUCGUAAUGAAAACCUCAAGUUAGAAUGUCCGUGGCUCAAGGCAAACACAAACUGUUAGACGUCUCAAGCUAUGAGUCAGCCUAAGGUUUUGUUUCUUAAAGAAACAAAAGUCAGUUAGAGAAAAAUGGAAACAAUAAGGAGGAGUGUGGGUUUAUGAAUGGAAUAGAUGUUAGUGGUGAUGGUUCAAAAGGAGGCAUUUCACUUAGGUGGAAGGAGGACAUAUUGAUAAAAUUAAGAAGUUUUUCUAAUUCUCACAUUGAUGUUGAAGUAAUGGAGAAAGGGAAAGCACGCAAUUUAAUAUGAUUCUCAGUUACCCCCUGAGGUUUCUUGCUAAGACAAACCAUAUGAAACUCUUUCAGAUGCUUGUGGGGAUUUUCAUUUUGUAACCCACGAAAAGUUGGCAGUAAUCGGAUUAAACCUGGCUUCAACUCAAAAUCGGUAUCCACAGUAGGAUACGCGAUGCACAAUGGCGGUUGUUCUGUAGGAGCUUCGGCCAGUUGCCGAAUCGUUUGAGCCAUUGGUUGGUGUGCUAGAUUCGGGUUUUCGUUAACCCUAGCGUUAAGCACUUCUUCUGGUGAGUCGACUUCUAUUUUUUCGCUUUCAAGUGUUCAAGUAGGGUUUUCGUUAACCCUAAACUCAGCUUCGUCGUCGACUUCGAUUUCUGGCAGUUGGUUACUUUGAGUUCCAACCACCGCUGACUGUUUUUUCAUAACUUUGUCUCCUUGCGAUUGGCUCUAGCAGUUUUCUCAAUUUUUUAAUCGAACGCAAGAGUACCUAGAGCAGAUCUAGUCAUAAGAAACAAAAAACGAGAUUAGUACGUUGCCAGUCCCCAGCAACGGUGCCAAAAUUUGAUGCGGUCAUUGAAAGCACCAAAAAUAUCCUAUCCCUAAUAAAUAAUAAAAAAGAAUAGUAAAAUGGAAGUAGGGUCGAA
rnacentral:lncRNA from 1 species